rnacentral:tRNA from 1 species
GUGGGUAUAGCUCAGUUGGUAGAGCACCGGGUUGUGGCCUCGGGUGUCGUGGGUUCGAGCCCCACUACUCACCCCA